rnacentral:rRNA from 1 species
GUGGGGAAUAUUGCGCAAUGGGGGAAACCCUGACGCAGCGACGCCGUGUGAGGGAAGAAGGCUUUCGGGUCGUAAACCUCUGUCAGGAAGGAAGAACCUCUCAAGGCUGAACAAGCCUUGGGACUGACGGUACUUCCAGAGGAAGCACCGGCUAACUCCGUGCCAGCAGCCGCGGUAAUAUGGAGGGUGCAAGCGUUAAUCGGAAUCACUGGGCGUAAAGCGCGCGUAGGCCGUCUUUUAAGUCGGACGUGAAAGCCCGAGGCUCAACCGGGGAACUGCGUUCGAUACUGGGAGACUUGAGUCCUGGAGAGGGUGGCGGAAUUCCGGGUGUAGGAGUGAAAUCCGUAGAUAUCCGGAGGAACACCGGUGGCGAAGGCGGCCACCUGGACAGGUACUGACGCUGAGGCGCGAAAGCGUGGGGAGCAAACAGGAUUAGAAACCCCUGUAGUCC